CAGAUGCCCAAUCACCCUCCUCACCACCCACGGCCACCCUCAGCCCACCUGCCUGCAGGGCCUUCCAGGGGUCUGGGGCUGCCUCCCCACCAGGAGGUUGAAUGACAACAAGGCAAACACUGGACCUGGCUCAGCUCUGUACUCUCUCCCCUCCACUGCCUGCCCUCAAGCAGCUUAGAGUCUUAAAGGAGAGUUAACAAGUACGUGAGCAGGUACAGUUCUGUGAAAUAAAGGCAACAAUAGUGCAGUGUAGGAGCCUACAGAGGAAGAGAGAGGCCAGCAGAGGCUUCCUGGAGGGACAGAUGUGUGGUCUGAGCAAGAAUUUGUCAGGUGGGGAGGGGAUAGACGGACAUAUUGCAGGUGGCACAGCCAGAACGCGUGAAGGCACAGGUGGAAGAAAGCGUCUUCCUUUUUCCAAAGUCUGACCAGAAUUUAUCACAACUGCACCCUGAAGCACAACUGAUGGAGAAGAAAGAGAAGUCGAAGAAGACACACCAGCACCAGAUGCAAAGGGCCCUCGAGCCAUUCCAGGGAGCUCAAGCACGGCCCCGAAGAUGAUGGGAGCAUUUAUGGUGUUUAGGCAGAAGAGGGACAUCUGCACAUUGCCCUUUGGGGACAUCACCUGGGCUUCACUGCGGAAACCAGACGGCAGGGCCACACAUCCGGCCAGCCCUCCAAAGCCCUAGGGCCCCCUUUGAUGGGGAUCAAUGCUGGUUUGCACUUCUCAGACACAAAGCACAGCCUACUCCCUCCCACGUUUGCUUCUCCCAAGAAACUGCAGAGAUGGGGGAAUAUUGCCCCGAUUUCAUAGAUGAGAAAACUGAGGCAUAGUGAGGUCAGCAGCUGUGCCCCCACAGCUAUGGAAGCAGUAGAGCUGGGACACGAAGCCAGCUCUUUGGACUCCACGCUCAGUGCCCCACAGAAGAGGUGAGAAGCCAUGCCAGGAGGGGCUGCUACUCACACUGGGCACUGCUGCUCGAGCCAGGCCGCAACUCUUCUCCUGAUGCAGGGUCCACACACCAGCAGUUCCGAAGAUCAAAAUGUGCCAAAGGAGUGCUGAAGUCUGAGUAGGACCCCGGGUAUUGGCUGAGUUGGCCAUUUAAGAUCUGCCAGAAGAGGUAGG
rnacentral:lncRNA from 1 species